GGCUGCUGUCAGUGGUGACAGGCCGCCAUGGUUUAAUAACUUUGUAAUUUUACUGUCAAUAUUCCACAGGUCGAUUUGCGUUUAAACCGUGACACAGGAUGAGGAGAAACAGCCUCGAGUUACACAGGAUAAAGGGGCAGGAUCGAUAACGGGGUUAUCACAGGACUAAGAUUUAAAGUCCUUAAACUGCACAUUCCCUUCAUGUAACCUCACACAGCACCCAAAGGAACAAAGCUCUUUAUAUAUUCACUGCUUUCUCCUCAGCACAAGACUUUAAAAUUUUUGCUUCCUCCAGACGAAUCCUGCUCUUUAGAAACAAACAGGCUGGGCUGCAUUCGGAACAACAGCAAAAAGAAGGAAAACUUGAAACCCCUGGAAGGAAACAUGGUCCCACGUCAGGAGGUGGCACAGCUCAGUGACGGCUCUGAGCAGAGCCAUGGCCUGCAGGCACACAGCACUGCAUGGCUGAUUGGUACAGCUGGUACAAUAAACACAUUUUGGCUUUUGCGAAGUUAAACAUUGCUCGGUAUCACGCUGGGACAGCUGCAUUCAAAGCACACAAACAUCCUCCUCUGGAGAGCAACGUGGGCGCAGCAUCACAGGGCACAGCACCAACCUCCAUCACUGACAAAAUGCAAAGUAUUUCCUUAGGUAAUGAAGCAGAAAGGAAUGUUAAUUCUAAGGACAGGAUAUUAUAUCUUAUUAGCAACACUUCUAAAUGGCUGUAACGUGGAGUGCUGGUAAAAUAGCAGCACUUCCCCAAAUCGCUCCGUGCCGCAGGUUUCUGAACCACUUAAAAAUAAAUAAACAUCCUACAUAAAUUCCUUAGAAGAGCCCAUCUCCUGUUUGAGAGGGAAAGCACACAGCUGGUCGGGCAGAGCUGCAUGAGCAGUCUGAAUUCCUCAGCCUCGGCUAUGAUCUCACUUCACAAGAACCAGACGUUCCAUUUCUUGCUUCUCCAGCAUCCAAGAGCAACACUGCUAACAUGCAGUGCAGAUUUUUCUUCACACUAGCACUGGAGGCAUCUACGAAGCUACUCUGAAGCUGACAAUCCCUCUUCUGCAGGACGACAUACAGCUCUCACAACCAGCAGAAAACCCAGAACUAACCCAGCCAGACCUGGAUUCGAGGGGUGCCACAGCUCAUUGCAAUGUGAAAACUGCAAGCUGAGUGCUCAGCACUGACCCCAGUCUCUGUCCUUGCAGGAAGGUACAGCACAGAAAUUCUAUGGUUUGCUCUGAGAACAGCAGUUGCAAAAAUACCUAAAGAAACUCAAAUCUUCUGCCACCAGUAAAGGAAAGCCUCCAAAUCGCCAGCAGCGUCUGACAGGUGACAGAUGAGAGAGAACCCUCUCCCAGACUCACAUCCUAUGUUCACCAUCAGAUGUCUUCAGGCAAGUGAAACAAUGCAAAAUUCAUUAUUAGCAGCUACUGUAGGAAUCAUAGAAUGAACACAUUGAGCAGCAGCACCCAGGGACAAGUUCCAGCACACGCUUUCCACACAUAAAGCUUUGCUUCAGAGAAAGAAGCAGAGGAAGAAGACGUUAAGGCUGCAAUGUGAAAACAGACCAAGUGUCCCAGCAGAAACCAGCCCAUCUACAUUCAUUCUUCAGAACUAGCAAACAUGGCGCCCUUCCUUAUUUUCACAUGUCAAAAAGUAAUUAAGAAAAAACCCAUUUUAUUUCUAUAGAUCCAUUUAUUAUUCCAGUCUGUAAAAAUAUAGGACUAAUAUACAGCUACAGCUAGCCAGAUUCAUAAAAUCAAUCUUCAUUCAGUGAGCUAACAAUGUACAUUAUACAUUGAAGUUGUAAGAAAAAUACUGAUAUUUGACAUUUUAAACAAGUUCAUUCAUGUAAAAAUCACAUUCCAAGUAGAAUUUAAUUAGAAAAUACAUAAUAUUCACAAAAAUACACAUGUUAAAAGACAGGCUGUGAGAACAUUGCCCUAAAUUCAGCUGUGGAAAAACACACGAUUCACAGUUAGGCUUGACUUACCCAGUACCAGAGCAGAACUUCAAAGUAAAUGCAACUUAAUUCUAUGAAGAAUUUGCUUGUUUCUCCCAGUAAGGUGCACUUAUCUCCCAGCUGCAAUGAAGGAAGGACUUCCCCCAUGCACGUAUACAACACACAACACUACACAGAGGAACUUCAGUUUUCUGCUCCAUUUUUUUUUUUUUUAAAGUAAUUUGAAUAUUUAUAAAUUAAUUUAUAAAAUCUGGGUUGAAAAUACAGUUUACAUAUACAGGAUACUUAAAACACAAAGAUUACAUUAAUAGCAGCUUAAUUUUGUCAAUCAUGCGUAGCAUCCUCACUAUCACUUCUGGAUUUCUUUUAGCUAAAGAUAAAAAUCUGUAUGAAACAGUCAAGCCUUUAAGCACUUUCUUCCAAGGAGAAAAUCGUAAAGAUGUUAAAAAUUCAGGAGGUAGUGAAUUAAAGGCUAAUGAUACCAGCAUAUUUAAAAAACCCCAUACUGAGCCUUAGUACCACUUAUAUAUGAAGUUUAGCCAUUCAUAAUCAACCAUUGAUCAUCCUGAAGUAACAAUUAAAAGUAUUUCAUAAUUAACAGUGUAUACAUUAGUAAGAUGUGGAAGAACUUUAGAAACUCCAUGGUCACUGCAGCAGUCAGCAAUUACAUGCUGUGCAGCCCGUCCCUGUAACCAUAAAUAAACCUACAGGUCAGUUUUUAUUAUGUAUACCUGGUGCUUUGUUUUAAUCAAAUCCCAAAUGCUUAGUCUUGUUAUGAGUGUUAUCAAGUUCCUGUAAAACAGAACAUUACUUGUCAAGAGUAUUAUCUCCUAUUUGGAUCAAUUAGAUUACAGGAUUGCAGAAAAGGUCCUAAGAGAUGGAUUUCCAUGCAGUGUUUAGCGGACCCUAGUUAGUUUUCUACAAUUCUCUCAUACUGGCAGACAUAUCCAAUAUAUCCAUGCAUCUGUUAGAGAACAAAUUGGGUAACACAGGAGUUUGGCAGCACACUAACUUUGGGUGUUUGUAUUUCAGCAAUAAGUUACCUUGUAAUGUUCUGUAAUUAUCAUGCUCAGAACCAACCCUCCUGUCUAAUUUAACAGCUCAUCUUGCAUCCGAGCUGCAAAACACCAACGCACUGAGCAGACCCACAGGGUACAUCCUCUGAGUGACAGCUUUACACCUGCACUGAGUGCGCUACCAGUUCAUCUUCUGGAUCCACAGACCUCACUCUUUUCUCAUCCAAGUGCCUUUACUCCUUUUAGUUAUUCGCAAUACAUUCAAGUAAGCAGAAGGCACAGAAAUGCAAA